rnacentral:rRNA from 1 species
UACGUAGGGGGCUAGCGUUGUCCGGAAUCAUUGGGCGUAAAGAGCGUGUAGGCGGCCCGGUAAGUCCGCUGUGAAAGUCGGGGGCUCAACCCUCGAAUGCCGGUGGAUACUGUCGGGCUAGAGUGCGGAAGAGGCGAGUGGAAUCCUGGUGUAGCGGUGAAAUGCGCAGAGUAUCAGGAGGAACACCAAUUGCGAAGGCAGCUCGCUGGGACGUAACUGACGCUGAGACGCGAAAGCGUGGGGAGCAAACAGG